UACAACGUAAAGUGUUUUGAUCGCAUUGGAAAAGACUAUCCAUACCGACCUAGAGUCGUCAGCCAUCGCACAAGCAGGCAAGCCAAGUUCCGAUACAAUUAGAGAGAAGCCAGCCUUUGGUAUAGAAGCCAUCCAUCAGUCUAUCAUUGUCAAGUGACUCAUCGCCCGUGGGACUUAGAAAUGAUUGAUUCGAAACCGACCUGGACUUUUUCUUUUUUGGCAUGGAAUUCUUAAAAUGCAUAUUAAAAGUGAAAUAGUUGAUGUGAUGGAUGUGCCCGGUAUCGAUCAAUGAAACAUCGGCUCGACGCAGGAUUUCAAUAGAACGAAAAACCUCGUAAGUAGUAGUAAUUGAAAGCCCUGGGACUGCAACCAGAACUACCCGAUCCGCUGAAAUACGAUACGAAGGAAGAAAGCUCAAUACAGGUUCGAAGCUUCAAACAGAGCCAGCGAAUCCACGCAUGGACAGAUCGAGGUAGCAACACCACUUUAGGAGAUUAAACAAAUGUUCAGUGCUCUAGUGAGGAUUGAAGUUCUAAAUAAAGAAAUUGGCUUUUGAUAGGCUGGAAUCGGAUCAUUGUGCAAUGUUAUGUUUUUCAAUCCAAAACUGAUUCGUUUCGUUGGUAGAACCCUCGCCAACCCUUUUCUCUAAAUAAUAGAGAGAUCUUUUGAUAGAAGUUUGACUUCUAUCAAUGCAAUGAAAGAACUAUCCCUUCCUAUUUGUUUGUCCUAAUGAGACAAAAAAGAGCCUCCUUCUUUACCACUUUAGGGGAUG
rnacentral:lncRNA from 1 species